UUUUUUUUGUUUUUUGUUUUUUUUUUUUGUAGCAACAGAAAAACCUGUCAGGUUUUUCACCCUGGGUGGCUCAGUCAAGUGUCUGACUCUUGAUUUCAGCUCAGGUCAUGAUCUCAGGAUGGUAAAACCCACCCCUGUGUCAGGGGAUCUGAAGCCUGCUUAAAAUUCUCUCUCCCUCUUUCUCUGCCCCUCCCACUCCCUCUUUAAAAAAAAAAAAAAAAAAACACUACUGUAGGCAAUCUCUCUUUUGCUCUCCUGCCUGCUGCAAUGUGUUCAAUAAACUUCUGUCUCCUUAAAACAAAAUAACAAAACUAGUAUAAUAAAAACAGUGUAGUACUGGCACGAUAACAGACAUACAGACUAAUGGAAGAGAAUUGAGAGUCCAGAAAUGAACCAUUGUUGGGGUGCCUGGCUGGCUCAGUCAAGUAGAGCACUCAACUCUGGAUCUCAGGGUUGUGAGUUCAAGCCCCGUGUUGAGCGUGGAGUCUACUAAAAGGGGGAAAAAAGACCUCUUACAUGUAUGGUUAAUUUUCAACAAUGAUGACAAGAUGAUUGAGUGAGGAAAGGACAGGUUUCUCAACAAAUCAUGUUGGGAAAACUGAAUAGCCACAUGCAAAGGAAAGAAGUUGGCUUACCUAACACCAUAUACACAAAUCAAAAUGGAUCAAAGAACAAUAGCUAAACCUACAAAACUCUUAGAAGAAAACAUAGGGGGACACUUCAUGGCAGUGGCUUUGGCGAUGAUUUCUUGGAUAUGACAACAAAAUAGGUAAACCUGACUUCAUCAAAAUCAAAAACUUUAGUAAAUCAUAUCUGAUAAGGGAUUAAUAGAGUAUAUAUAAAAUCCUACAACUCAAUAAGUGUUCACAAUGAUAUGGAGAAGCUGGAACCCUUGUGCAUGAUGGAGGGAAUAUAAAAUGGUGCAGCUACUGUGGAAAGUAGUCACUCUUCAAAGAGUUAACGUAGAUGGGAUGCCUGGGUGGCUCAGUGGUUAAGCCUCUGCCUUUGGCUCAGGGUGUGGUCCUAGUCCUGGAAUCAAGUCCCACAUUGGACUCCCCAUAGGGAGUCCCUCUUCUCUCCCUCUCCCUGUGUCUCUGCCUCUGUGUGUAUGUGUCUCUCAUGAAUAAAUAAGUAAAAUCUUUAAAAUAUAUAUAUAAUCCAAGUGCCCAUCAGCACCAUGAAUGGAUAAACAUGUGGUAUAUAUGACUGUGUGUAUAUGUAUACAUAUGUGUAUAUAUGUAACAUAUAUGUAUACAUGGCUGGUAUUCUAACUAUACCAAUUUUUAUAAACACACAUAUAUGUAGUGGGACACUAUUCAGCCAUUAAAAGGAAUAAAAUUCCAAAUCCUGCUAUGACAUAGAUGCACCCUGAAAACAUUAUGCUAAGCAAAAUAAGCCUACAUAGAGGGAUACCUAAUGUAGGAUUCCACUUAUAUGAAGUGCCUAGAAGAAGAAAAGUCUGAGAGACUGAAAGUAGAAGUUAGGGACAGGGGGAAUGGAGAGUUAAUAUUUAGUUGGUACAGUUUCUAUUUGGAAUGAUGGAAACAUUCUGGAAAUAGUGAUGAUGGUUGCACAAUAUUGUGAAUAUACUUAAUGCAUUGAGCUGUGAAUUUUGUUGCAUACAUUUUAUUUAAAAAAUGAUACCAAUGAUGAAAAAAGGUCAAAGCCAAUUAGUACCUAAAGUCCAUGAACCUGUAACUAGGGCUUAGCCUCACAGAAACCCCAGCUGCCUCCAUAUCUGGUUGAAAACUUCUCCAUCCUCUGUAUGUCUCCCCAAAACAGACACCUCUUUGGAAUCAGCCCUCCCAGCUGCAAAGGAGGUUGUGAGCACCCAACAUCAUACAGGAUGCAAGACCAAAGGAUAUAACCUCCACUCUCAGCCCAGGUUGAGAACUAUUGAGUUCUGAGUUCUGCAGCCUUCUGAUUGCAGCUCCCUUGUAGGAACAGAGGGUGAGCUUUUUGCAGUGUUGGGGAGGAGUGAGGAGGGAGGAUUUCUUUGGCCAUGAUGCUUGAAGAGAAGCUGUGGGCCACACCUGCCAGCUUUGCUCCUGUUAGGACAUAUAAGCAGAAGGGAAAAGAGAAUGCUUGUCGGGCACCCUUACCCCCCUGUGAAAUGAUCCAGGAAAAUGCAGUGACAUCCCCUCUUCCUGCCCCCCAUCCCAGGUCCCAGGCUUCCCUUUUACCCAGCUUCAGAUUGCUCUCUACUUUUGGGAGUGGAUCCCCUCCCCACAGCCAUUCUGGAAGCGGGGAUGCCCAGAAGCUUACCUCUUUGACCACUGGGAGCCCCUGGAGCUCUCAUCUCCUUGGGUUGAGCUGCAGAGCUUAACCUCCCAAGGCAGUAUUUACACAUGUUUCAAGACAGUUGUUCUCCCCCCCGGUGAUGCUUGGACUUGACUGGAGAGCUAGAAGUAGGGAAGGAGUGGGAGUCAUUGUAUUCUGACAUCCCUGGCCCCGUAAGAUGACAGGUUGGCAAGAGACUAGUAUUAGUGGGCAGGCACAGAGGUUUAUUUCUAUUCUUGCUUUGUGUGCUUCUGUGUAGGCAAUGAAAA
rnacentral:lncRNA from 1 species